CCUACGGGAGGCUGCAGUGGGGAAUAUUGCACAAUGGGGGAAACCCUGAUGCAGCGACGCCGCGUGAGUGAAGAAGUAUUUCGGUAUGUAAAGCUCUAUCAGCAGGGAAGAAAAUGACGGUAACUGAUUAAGAAGCCCCGGCUAACUACGUGCCAGCAGCCGCUGUAAUACGUAGGGGGCAAGCGUUAUCCGGAUUUACUGGGUGUAAAGGGAGCGUAGACGGGGAUGCAAGUCAGAAGUGAAAGCCCGGGGCUGAACUCCGGGACUGCUUUUGAAACUGUGUGACUUGAGUGCAGGAGAGGUAGGCGGAAUUCCUGGUGUAGCGGUGAAAUGCGUAGAUAUCAGGAGGAACACCAGUGGCGAAGGCGGCUUACUGGACUGUAACUGACGUUGAGGCUCGAAAGCGUGGGGAGCAAACAGGAUUAGAUACCCUAGUAGUC
rnacentral:rRNA from 1 species